UACAGAACAUUUAAACAAAUGCAUACAAAACAAAGCAAUGACAAUAAUAAUAAUAAUAUAUCUACACAGAAUAAUUACAGUGGGGUAAAUAUGAGUUAAAAAGAAGUGUAUAUUAGUUUCAAAAAAGAAGAAGCGAUAGUUAAAGAAACUAAACAAGAUAAAACGAUCAAGUCAUCAAGUAAUAAAUAAGCUGGAUUUCUUAUGAUCAUCACAGAAAGGAGCACGGACCUGUUCAGACAAGAAAACAGUGCAGAAAAAGAAGUCGUCACAGUCAAACAGGGCUGGCCUGGGCUGCUUGGCGCCUGCUGCCCCCGGGCAACCCCAACCUCACAACGCCACCACUACUGUCGCCUGGAACAGAAACAACGUAGCUGCCUAGAAUAUGUUGCACAACUUCAACCGGGGAGCUUUGUGAUGGUGGAUAGGCAGGCGGACUGCUGCACAUGGUAAUUUAAUGCCUCGUUCGCACUGAGCGAUCCAGACCGGACUGGAUCGGCCCGGAAUGGAGUUUUGAGAGUUUCCAUUAUAAAUGGACCUGUUAAGCAGGACCGACUGGUAUCAUUUCUGCUCCAUGUUGGUCGUAAGUCCUUAGAAAAAGAUAGAUAGAUAGAUAGAUGGAUGGAUGGA